UACGUAGGGUGCGAGCGUUGUCCGGAAUUAUUGGGCGUAAAGAGCUCGUAGGCGGCCUGUUGCGUCUGCUGUGAAAGCCCGGGGCUUAACCCCGGGUCUGCAGUGGAUACGGGCAGGCUAGAGUUCGGUAGGGGAGACUGGAAUUCCUGGUGUAGCGGUGAAAUGCGCAGAUAUCAGGAGGAACACCGGUGGCGAAGGCGGGUCUCUGGGCCGAUACUGACGCUGAGGAGCGAAAGCGUGGGGAGCGAACAGG
rnacentral:rRNA from 1 species